rnacentral:rRNA from 1 species
CGAGUCCGGCAAGCUACGGCUUGUCAAUGAUGGCGAUCAUGCUUCCCAGAAAAGCCCGGACUAUCGUAAAUUCUAAAUACUUGUACCCGAAACCGACACAGGUGGGGAGGUUGAGAAAACUAAGGGGCGCGAGAUAACUCUCUCUAAGGAACUCGGCAAAAUGACCCCGUAACUUCGGGAGAAGGGGUGCCACCGCAAGGUGGUCGCAGUAAAGAGGCCCAGGCGACUGUUUACCAAAAACACAGGUCUCCGCCAAGUCGCAAGACGCAGUAUGGGGGCUGACGCCUGCCCAGUGCCGGAAGGUUAAGGAAGUUGGUCAGGAGUAAUCUAAAGCUGACGACUGAAGCCCCGGUGAACGGCGGCCGUAACUAUAACGGUCCUAAGGUAGCGAAAUUCCUUGUCGGGUAAGUUCCGACCCGCACGAAAGGCGUAACGAUCUGGGCACUGUCUCGGAGAGAGACUCGGCGAAAUAGGAUUGUCUGUGAAGAUACGGACUACCUGCACCUGGACAGAAAGACCCUAUGAAGCUUUACUGUAACCUGGAAUUGGCUUCGGGCUUCGCUUGCGCAGUAUAGGUGGGAGGCGUUGAAGAUUUCCUUGUGGGGAAGUCAGAGCCAACGGUGAGAUACCACUCUAGCGAGGCUAGAAGUCUAACUUUCGCCCAUGAUCUGGGGAAAGAACAGUUUCAGGUGGGCAGUUUGACUGGGGCGGUCGCCUCCUAAAUGGUAACGGAGGCGUACAAAGGUUUCCUCAGGCUGGUUGGAAAUCAGCCAUAGAGUGCAAAAGCAGAAGGAAGCUUGACUGCGAGACCUACAAGUCGAGCAGGGACGAAAGUCGGUUUUAGUGAUCCGACGGCACUGCGUGGAAGGGCCGUCGCUCAACGGAUAAAAGUUACUCUAGGAUAACAGGCUGAUCUCCCCCAAGAGUCCACAUCGACGGGGAGGUUUGGCACCUCGAUGUCGGCUCAUCGCAACCUGGGGCGGAAGUACGUCCCAAGGGUUGGGCUGUUCGCCCAUUAAAGCGGUACGUGAGCUGGGUUCAGAACGUCGUGAGACAGUUCGGUCCAUAUCCGGUGCAGGCGCAAGAGCAUUGAGAGGAGCCUUCCUUAGUACGAGAGGACCGGGAAGGACGCACCACUGGUGUACCUGUUAUCGUGCCAACGGUAGACGCAGGGUAGCCAAGUGCGGAGUGGAUAACCGCUGAAAGCAUCUAAGUGGGAAGCCCACCUCAAGAUGAUUGCUCUCACAGGGUUAACCUGGUAAGGUCACGGGCAGAACACCCGUUUUUAGGCACUAGGUGGAAGUUCAGUAAUGAAUGUAGCCAAGGUGUACUAACAGACC